rnacentral:misc_RNA from 1 species
CUGAGCUGUAGAUACUUCUUUGUGUUUUGCUUUUUGCCUUUUCGGUGUUUCACUCUCUGCGCACCACGUAGUGGGGUAGCCUCGUUGCGAUGCAGCGAUCGUCAUUGGGUGCGUGCACAGUUGCCGCGGCGCAGCUGCACGCACGCGCAUCGCUGCACUCUUCGACGCUCAUGUCUUGCGGUUGCUCCCCCCUGACGGUGCAACGGCGCGGUCUCCGCAAUUUGCACCAGUACCCGCACGCACGCUACAAGAGUCUGGUAAAGGACUGUCACCGCUUUUCGCGUAACUGGUGGCUGACGGCGGGCAACAACUACGAGCUUGUUUCCGAGGUUGGCCACGAGCGCGAGGCCACGGAGAAUUUCGCGGUUUUGCGCGACGACAGCGACAAAGACGCUUAUGUCUUGUCCACAAACCGCCUCGAAGACCUGCCGCCGGCGGAGCGACUCAACAUGCUGGUGGCGCUCAUGACCGAACGGUGGAAGGUGAAAGACAACAAUCGCGGAUAUGACAAGGCGAAGAUGCUGCUGAAGGCGCUGGAGUGCUUCAGCGAGAUGCGCCUAUCCGGCCAGAUAAAGGUCUUUGACGAACUGCCAGAGCCGGACCAGGACACAUUCCUUCAGUACGUCGAGGGCUGCGCGCAGUUUGCGCAGGGAUGCUCGCAUUCACACCCCGACGCCGUGGCGAUGGUGCUGCGCGCUGCCGAGAUUUGCGACGAGAUGCGCUGCGUGGACAAGAGAGAAGAAAUGACGCAUGUUGCGGAGGUGAUGGCGCAGCGGCUGGAUCGGGCGUGCGCUUCCGCGCGGCCUCUCGAGACAAAGGCGCAGCUGACGCCUCCUUCCAUCACCGAGAUUCACAGUGGCCUGCGAGUGAAGCAGAUGAGGGAGCUGCGAGAUCGCUUCAAGGAUAAGCCGUGGGUACUAGAGCCAAAGAAACGCAUCGAGUACUUUUACGGACCUCGCAGUCGAAAGAUUUUUCACACACCGAUGCGGCGGGAUGACAUCCAUCGAAAUCUGCUCGACAUCCCGCAUCGCCCGGAAACGCGGUCGUGGAAUCAGUAGCCCGCGGCUGACAUUUCUUGAUGGGGCUCUUGUGCCGCAGUCGAACCGUUUGCUUGUUCUUCAUCAUAUCCACUGAACUACCGCACCUAUAACUGCCACUGCCGCGAAACAGCCACCUACUCCGGUUCUCUGCGCCCCAUCUGUGCAGGUACACGAAUGCGGCGAAACGGGAUGGACUGGCGGAGGAGUAUGUUGAGCGAGUCAACAGCAGGCGCACCACAGCGAAGAACUGCGGCCCGGCGAUAGUACCGCCCCGAGACGAGGGGUGAGCGCCGCGAGCGUGUGCCCUUCACGAUCGAAUGCAAUCUUUUCAUCACACCGGCGUCAACGUAUCUUCUUUUCUUCUCGCAUCUGCUUCGACGACGCUCUCUGCACCACCACCACCGGCAUCGCACGGCCUCUGUUUAG